rnacentral:rRNA from 1 species
GACGAACGCUGGCGGCGUGCUUAACACAUGCCAGUCGAACGGAAAGGCCCUGCUUUUGUGGGGUGCUCGAGUGGCGAACGGGUGAGUAACACGUGAGUAACCUGCCCUUGACUUUGGGAUAACUUCAGGAAACUGGGGCUAAUACCGGAUAGGAGCUCCUGCUGCAUGGUGGGGGUUGGAAAGUUUCGGCGGUUGGGGAUGGACGCGCGGCUUAUCAGCUUGUUGGUGGGGUAGUGGCUUACCAAGGCUUUGACGGGUAGCCGGCCUGGGAGGGUGACCGGGCACAUGACUACUGCGGUACGCCCCAGACUCCUAUGGGAGGCAGCAGUGGGAAAUAUGACACAAUGGGACGACGCCUGAUGCAGCGACGCCGCGGUCGGGAAGACGUCCUGCUGGUUGUAAACCGCUUUCGCCUGUGACGAAGCGUGAGUGACGGUAAUGGGUAAAGAAGCACCGGCUAACUACGUG